rnacentral:rRNA from 1 species
UACGUAGGCAGCGAGCGUUGUUCGGAGUUACUGGGCGUAAAGAGUGCGUAGGCGGUUUUCUAAGUUUGGUGUGAAAUCUCCCGGCUUAACUGGGAGGGUGCGCCGAAGACUGGAAGGCUUGAGUAUGGGAGAGGUAAGCGGAAUUCCUGGUGUAGCGGUGAAAUGCGUAGAGAUCUGGAGGAACACCGAUGGCGAAGGCAGCCUUCUGGGCCAACACUGACGCUCAUGCACGAAAGCGUGGGGAGCAAACAGG